rnacentral:lncRNA from 1 species
UCUGUAAAAUGAACACAUCAAACCUCAUUUUGCAUUUAAAGCUGUAAACAGGCCAAAUAACAGUAAAUCAUCAAUCACACUAGACUCGGGCUCCAUUAGCAACCUUAAGCAAUUUCACACAUGCGUUAAUUCAAGAAAUACCGUUUUAUCAUUUUGAACUUUAAUACCGUGAUAGGAAAUAGGGUGAGGGGUCCUUACUUGUUUUCGAGAUCCGAAUACGAUUCACAGUGCGCCUGCAGGCCUUCCCUAAUUUUCCCUGAAUUUUUCCCGGGGAACUGAAACACACUAACAAUACCUGCACGUGUUCCAAAAAAAAAUCCAAAUUAGGCCCAGGGCCCCUUUCGGACCAAAUCGCAACUCCGGCACGGCGGCUCCGCCGUGCUCCGGCGACGGCACCGCCGCUGGCGGCGGCGAGUCGCCUCGGGUUGACUGUUUUCGGCCGUUUUCGGCCGAAUUCGGCCACACUCGCAUUGGUCCUUGUCAGAAAACAGCCCUAGGGCCCUCGGGGGGCCAAAAAUCACGGAAAAAACGGAGCUUACCGGCGGCGGCGCUCUCGGGUGCAGCGGCUCUCCGGCGAGGUUCGUGUUUUGGUGAUUCGGCUCCGGUCAACCUGUAGAGAAAAGAAUGGUGAUCACGGUGAUAUAAAAAUUGCAUCGAACGGAGGCCGGGAAGGGCCUCGUCGGAGGCAAAAACCGAGAGGGGGCGCGGCGGCGCCGCUGGGCUUCGGCCGCGUAUUCCGGCCGUUUGGCCGGGAUUUCGGUUUCGAUUUGGCCAUAGGAGGAAUCAGUGCGGAAAAACGAGUCGGGGGUAUGAAAUUUACCUCGAUCGGCGGUCGGAAAUUUCCCCGGUGCGGCGGCGAGUGGCGGCGGGUGGCGGCGGUCGGCCUCUGGUUCGUCUUCUCCGGCGAGCGGCUGGCGGCUAGGGUUUGUGGUCUGGUGUGGGGGUUCUAUUUAUAACCCCUUGCCUUUUGAUCACAGCCGUUCAUUUUGUUUUAAUCUGGGCCGUUCGUUUUUGAUUGAAUCUGGGCCGUCCGUGCGAUUGAAUCUGGGCCGUCCGAUCGCGUGAUUGAUCUGGGCCGUCGGAUCGCACCCACGCGGAUCGCCAACGUGGCUCCUUUCGGAGUGACGCGAUCUUGCCACGUGGCAGGCACUGGUUGGCCGGGACUGCUGACGUGGCUGCUGACGCGGCUGCUGACGUGGCCCCCCUUUUUUUUUUUUUUUUUUUUUUUUUUUUUUUUUUUUUUUUUUUUUUUUCCCCUCCUCCUUUCCGGGUGCUACAACUCUCCCCCCCAUAAAGAAAUUUGGUCCCCAAAUUUGCCUCAUUACUCUUGAUCAAACAGAUGAGGAUAUUGGGCCCUAAAUUCUGAUUCCAGCUCCCAAGUCGCCUCCCUAGGUGUGUGGUUCUGCCACAAGACUUUUACAAAUGAUAUUUCCCGGUUACGGAGUAUUCUGC